CACUGUGGGACAGGGGAACCCAGGUUUGUGUGUCCUUCCACACAUCACUGUGGGACAGGGGAACCCAGGUUUGUGUGUCCUUCCACACAUCACUGUGGGACAGGGGAACCCAGAUUUGUGUGUCCUUCCACACAUCACUUUGGGACAGGGGAACCCAGCUUUGCGUGUCCUUCCACACAUCAGGGCUGUGGGAUAAGGGAACCCAGC